UACGGAGGGGACUAGCGUUGUUCGGAAUUACUGGGCGUAAAGCGCACGUAGGCGGAUUUGUAAGUCAGGGGUGAAAUCCCGAGGCUCAACCUCGGAACUGCCUUUGAUACUGCAAAUCUCGAGUCCGGAAGAGGUGAGUGGAAUUCCUAGUGUAGAGGUGAAAUUCGUAGAUAUUAGGAAGAACACCAGUGGCGAAGGCGGCUCACUGGUCCGGUACUGACGCUGAGGUGCGAAAGCGUGGGGAGCAAACAGGAUUAGAAACCCCCGUAGUCC
rnacentral:rRNA from 1 species